AUUGGGACUGAGAUACGGCCCAGACUCCUACGGGAGGCAGCAGUGGGGAAUAUUGCACAAUGGGCGCAAGCCUGAUGCAGCGACGCCGCGUGAGGGAUGGAGGCCUUCGGGUUGUAAACCUCUUUUAUCGGGGAGCAAGCGAGAGUGAGUUUACCCGUUGAAUAAGCACCGGCUAACUACGUGCCAGCAGCCGCGGUAAUACGUAGGGUGCAAGCGUUAUCCGGAAUUAUUGGGCGUAAAGGGCUCGUAGGCGGUUCGUCGCGUCCGGUGUGAAAGUCCAUCGCUUAACGGUGGAUCCGCGCCGGGUACGGGCGGGCUUGAGUGCGGUAGGGGAGACUGGAAUUCCCGGUGUAACGGUGGAAUGUGUAGAUAUCGGGAAGAACACCAAUGGCGAAGGCAGGUCUCUGGGCCGUUACUGACGCUGAGGAGCGAAAGCGUGGGGAGCGAACAGGAUUAGAUACCCUGGUAGUCCACGCCGUAAACGGUGGAUGCUGGAUGUGGGGCCCGUUCCACGGGUUCCGUGUCGGAGCUAACGCGUUAAGCAUCCCGCCUGGGGAGUACGGCCGCAAGGCUAAAACUCAAAGAAAUUGACGGGGGCCCGCACAAGCGGCGGAGCAUGCGGAUUAAUUCGAUGCAACGCGAAGAACCUUACCUGGGCUUGACAUGUUCCCGACGGCCGUAGAGAUGCGGCUUCCCUUCGGGGCGGGUUCACAGGUGGUGCAUGGUCGUCGUCAGCUCGUGUCGUGAGAUGUUGGGUUAAGUCCCGCAACGAGCGCAACCCUCGCCCCGUGUUGCCAGCGGAUUAUGCCGGGAACUCACGGGGGACCGCCGGGGUUAACUCGGAGGAAGGUGGGGAUGACGUCAGAUCAUCAUGCCCCUUACGUCCAGGGCUUCACGCAUGCUACAAUGGCCGGUACAACGGGAUGCGACGCGGCGACGCGGAGCGGAUCCCUGAAAACCGGUCUCAGUUCGGAUCGCAGUCUGCAACUCGACUGCGUGAAGGCGGAGUCGCUAGUAAUCGCGAAUCAGCAACGUCGCGGUGAAUGCGUUCCCGGGCCUUGUACACACCGCCCGUCAAGUCAUGAAAGUGGGCAGCACCCGAAGCCGGUGGCCUAACCCCUUGUGGGAUGGAGCCGUCUAAGGUGAGGCUCGUGAUUGGGACUAAGUCGUAACAAGGUAGCCGUACCGGAAGGUGCGGCUG
rnacentral:rRNA from 1 species